GUUUUUAACCAGGGAUCUGGUUCUACACUGUGUUCACUUGGUGAAAGUCAAGUUGUGUUCCAUUUUGUGUGCUCAUUUUGUACUUCAAAAAAAAAAAAAAACUACAGAUCGAUUACAAGAUGAACAGAAAAUGGAAGAAUGAAGGAGAAAGAAAAGAGAAAAUUUUGAUCCAGUUCAGAAGCAAACAGAAAUCUUUACAAUGUCUAAGUACGGUUACAGGAGUCAGUGCAAAGAAAUGAAGAUAAGAGCUCACGCAGGGAAAUAAGGAAGGCUUCCCGGAGAGCUGGACUUUGAUCGGCUUCCUGGAGAAGGAAUCUGGUUUCACCACGUGAAGAGUCCUGGACCAUUAAUGCCUGGACACUUGGCUGAGCACAGUGCAGUGGACAGAGGUCAGCUUCAGACUGAGACGGAGGAGGCCGCCUCUGGAUGGGGAAGCAACAACUUCAGGAGGACUGGGCCUGGGGUGAGAGGGGCCGCCAGCCAGGACACACAGAGAAGGGGGUUAUCUGCGUGCAGAUGCAUCCGGGUUCACUGACAUCUGUCCUUCAACUGUCCCUCUUACAGAAAAAUGACUAUGAAAAUGCCUAUUGUUCUCCCUUUAGAAGGAGGUACAUAGCAAAAGAUUAACUCAGCACAUUCCAGACAUGGGGGUCAUGUUUGAUGUCAUUUACAUGAAUCCUUAGAAAUACUUUUAUUUUUGAAUAAACAUACAUGUGUUGGAACUAUCUCCAAUGUAUUUUACCAGCAAUUUCCACCUCCCUGAAUUCAUUCAAUGUGAAAUAGGUUACCCAGGGUCUAGAACAGAUAGUGUUUGGGGAACUUGGGUGUCCUCGAAGCAUCUGUGCUGCUCUUUGCUUCAUAGUAUUCAGCAGUCCCAGUGCGGCACAUGCUGCUCAUCCUAAAGAUACAGCGUAUGUUGUUGUGUGUAUCUAUGUAUGUAUACGUGUGCAUGUGUGGAUGUGUGCAUGUCUGUACACCUAUGUGUAGGAACACAUGUGCAUAUGCAUUUGUGUGUCUGUGCCUAUGUGUUUAUGCAUCUAGAUGCUUUACCAUUCACCCUCCAGUGCCCACCCCACUGAAGCCCCCAUUCCCUGCAGUAGACAUGGAAGCGGGGUCUGUGCUGCCCCUGGCAAAAUCUCUGCACUGGACCCUUCUCCAGCAGAAGAGCACCUGCUGCUGCUGCGCUGGUUGUCAGGGAUUCUCCACCUCUUAUUCCUGCUCUUUGGGUUGCCCCAGGGAGGCUUGGGAGCUGUCACACUGUGGUGCAGUUCUGUUGUUUUCUGGUGUAACAUGCCCUAAGCAUUUUAUGUUCAAAGAGAGAAGAGAGAAAUCAAUUCCAAUUUUAGCAAGGCAUUUGUGAAUAAUAGCAUUUGAAGAAGGCUGAGAAUUCUAAGUAUUUAAGUUCACUGUCUCAUAAUUGACUAAAUCUAAUAACUCAUUUUAAAGGUGAAAAAACCAAGAGCAAAGGACCAGAAGUGGCUUGUUCAAGGCUCUAUAUGCCCAGCAUCUUUCUUCAGGACCAGGAUGCUAUGUUUUCUUUCAGGCUCCACAAAAGCUCACUCUGCAGAUUUGGAAAAGUCCCUUCAUGUGCUGCUGGAUAAUCUCUAUGUUUCCCCUGAGAUGUGGCCUCUGCCCUGUGUCCUGCUAUGUGCCUGACAAGCUGACUCUGGGGACCACUUUCUUUGUCUCUUGUCUUCUAGUCAGUGCUAGAGCAAGACCAGGGGUACCCCACGUACCCCUGCUGAAGUUCAGAUUCCCCAGCAAUCAGUCCUGGGGUCUGGUCAGUGCAGUGCAUCCUGGGUCUCGGGCACCAAGUCACACUGCCCUGUCCUUCCUGCUGCCCAUCACUGUCAGCCCCCUCUGCUGUUUCUCUCACCUGUGCACACGUCUGUGUACAGCUAAAUUAUCAGAGCAGACAGGGAGCUCCCUUCCAGGUCAGAGAUGUAUUCAGGUUCUCUUUUUUUGAACAUGGACAUUAAAAACUGUCUUCUUGGGGGAAUUGAUGAGGUUCAAAUAAGACUAUGGAUAUAAAUGUGCUAUGUCUGGCCCAGAUAAAGGCUUGUUUUAACCAGUGAUCGUACCAGGCCCUGGGGUCCAACUGUGGCUUAAGGCACUGACUGGUUUUCCUGUGGACUUCUUACAGAGGGACCCAACCACCCUCUUUAUCUCCUGGGUCAGUCAGUUUGAUGACAUCGGGCAGACAGAAGGUUGCAAUUUCUUUUCCUUCAGAAGUUAGUGAAAUUGCAAACUGCACCCUUGACCUAGAUACAAAGAAGUGAGAGGUCAGUCUUCCUGAGUAGCUGCAGGCAUUGAUCUGCCUGUCUCUCGGGUCUCUGCCUGUUACUUGAAAGCCAAACCAGGGUGACUCAUGGUGUUCUAAUGCAGCAAAGAAGGGAAACGAGUUCUCAGCAGGUGCUGUCACCAGCCAUGCUCUACUCAGAGCUGAGUACCUGCAUCAGUUUAAGAGAAAAGGCAAAUGGAAGCACACUGCUAAACGAAUCUUCUUCCCCCUUCUCUGCCAAGCCUCCAAUCUGGCUCUCAUCUAUCUCCUGUCCAGUAGUCGCCUCAGCCUUGAAGGACAUCUCUCAGUCCUCGAAUGCAGGCCUAUCCAAUUCCAUGAAAUCCUGUGAGCGUCUAUGGCUGUCUGCAGCACCCAGGUGUUUAAAUGCAGGAAGACAAAAAGUGAUCAAGACAUGCUGUUAUUUCAUCUGUGCCAAUAAAUACCAUUGUGAU